rnacentral:lncRNA from 1 species
UACACAUCCAAGAAUGAUACAAAGAUGAUUAAGGAAACUUUAAAAAUCAUGCACACUAUUGUAUACCAAUAUUUUUCCUAUAUCUAAUAAAUGAAAAGUAUUUCGUUAUAUUUAUUGAUAACUAUAUGUAUCUAUACCUUAUAUUUAUUAAAACUAAUGUAUUUGAGGCCUUUAAGAAAUUUGAAGCAGAGAUAAAGAGAUAAUUAGGAAUAGCGAUAUAGUUAGAUCUGACAGAGAUGGUGAGUACUAUGGUAGAUAUAUAGAGAUGAGAUAAUAACUAGGACCAUUAGCAAAAUUCUUAAAGGAACAUAGUAUUGUAUUUUGUUACGUAACAUCAAAGCACAUGAGGUCUAAAUAAAAGUAGUUAAAAGAAG